rnacentral:rRNA from 1 species
AGUGAACGCUGGCGGUAGGCCUAACACAUGCAAGUCGAACGGCAGCACAGUAAGAGCUUGCUCUUACGGGUGGCGAGUGGCGGACGGGUGAGGAAUACAUCGGAAUCUACUUUUUCGUGGGGGAUAACGUAGGGAAACUUACGCUAAUACCGCAUACGACCUACGGGUGAAAGCAGGGGAUCUUCGGACCUUGCGCGAUUGAAUGAGCCGAUGUCGGAUUAGCUAGUUGGCGGGGUAAAGGCCCACCAAGGCGACGAUCCGUAGCUGGUCUGAGAGGAUGAUCAGCGACACAGGAACUGAGACAAGGUCCAGACUCCUAGGGGGUGCAGCAGUGGGGAAUAUUGGAAAAUGGGCGCAAGCCUGAUCCAGCCAUACCGCGUGGGUGAAGAAGGCCUUCGGGUUGUAAAGCCCUUUUGUUGGGAAAGAAAAGCAGCAGGUUAAUACCCCGCUGUUCUGACGGUACCCAAAGAAUAAGCACCGGCUAACUUCGUG